rnacentral:rRNA from 1 species
GUGCCAGCAGCCGCGGUAAUACGUAGGGGGCAAGCGUUGUUCGGAAUCACUGGGCUUAAAGGGCGUGUAGGCGGAAUGGUAGGUCCUUCGUGAAAUCCCCCGGCUCAACCGGGGAAUUGCGGGGGAAACCCCCAUUCUUGAGGCAGGUAGAGGCGACUGGAACGUGUGGUGGAGCGGUGAAAUGCGUAGAUAUCACACGGAACGCCGGUGGCGAAAGCGGGUCGCUGGGCCUGUCCUGACGCUGAGACGCGAAAGCGUGGGGAGCAAACAGGAUUAGAUACCCCGGUAGUCC